CACUCCUACGGGAGGCAGCAGUGGGGAAUAUUGCACAAUGGGCGCAAGCCUGAUGCAGCCAUGCCGCGUGUAUGAAGAAGGCCUUCGGGUUGUAAAGUACUUUCAGCGGGGAGGAAGGCGAUAAGGUUAAUAACCUUGUUGAUUGACGUUACCCGCAGAAGAAGCACCGGCUAACUCCGUGCCAGCAGCCGCGGUAAUACGGAGGGUGCAAGCGUUAAUCGGAAUUACUGGGCGUAAAGCGCACGCAGGCGGUCUGUCAAGUCGGAUGUGAAAUCCCCGGGCUCAACCUGGGAACUGCAUUCGAAACUGGCAGGCUAGAGUCUUGUAGAGGGGGGUAGAAUUCCAGGUGUAGCGGUGAAAUGCGUAGAGAUCUGGAGGAAUACCGGUGGCGAAGGCGGCCCCCUGGACAAAGACUGACGCUCAGGUGCGAAAGCGUGGGGAGCAAACAGGAUUAGAAACCCCAGUAGUCCCA
rnacentral:rRNA from 1 species